ensembl:lncRNA
CUCAGAAAGGAAAGCAGAUAUGAAUGCAGUCUCAAACUCAAUCCAAGUGGUUAUGCUGGACCGUCUGACUUCCCACCAGUCUCGUGCUGUUCCGUACAAGACAGUACGGAAGGUAGCCAGGAUGUCUGCAUCUGUCAGGGGAUGUACAUCCAAAAAAUCCUGACAUUUGGUUAGGUACAAUAGGGGGUCUGCAUCGUCUGAAGGCCUUCCAAAUGUGGGGAAGGUUAAUUUAAUAUGGUCACUUUUAACCACAGAUGUUAACAGAGGGGUUGAAGAAGUUGAAGGAGUCACUGGAGCAGAAGGAGAUGGCUGGGAUGAAAUACUGGUAGUGCUGGGACCUGGUGCUGUCAGUACACUUAAUUUUUGUUGAUCUGCACUUUUUUAACACUUUGAAAUCCUUUCUCCACUUCACUUUUCAACUCUUUGAAACCGUAUUUUGAACAGCUUUGAUGUCCUGCUGAACCUCUGCUUGGAGUUGAUCAACCAUGAAUCGUAGUUCGGACACCAAGCAAGAUCAGCAAUCUGGCUCUGGUGCUGAGAAGAGGUAUCUUUCACUUCCUGGGAGUUGGUAGAAUGUUGGGCAGGUCAUGUUGUGCCACUGACGAAGGAGUUCCACCUUCAGAAGAGGUGCAAAGUUGCAUGUUAUCUACUUGUGUUGCCCAGGUGAGAGUUUGUACUGGAGUGCUCCCAGCCAGAGCAGGAGAAGACAUGUGUACACGGGUUCCAGGAUGAACAGAACUGAG